rnacentral:misc_RNA from 1 species
GAUGAAGAACGCAGCGAAAUGCGAUACUUGGUGUGAAUUGCAGAAUCCCGUGAACCAUCGAGUCUUUGAACGCAAGUUGCGCCCGAAGCCAUCAGGUUGAGGGCACGUCUGCCUGGGCGUCACAUAUCGUUGCCCAAUGCCUAUUGCAGUGCAAUAGGAAUUUCUAGGGCGAAUGAUGGCUUCCCGUGAGCGUUGUUGCCUCGCGGUUGGUUGAAAAUCGAGUCCUUGGUAGGGUGUGCCAUGGUAGAUGGUGGUCGAGUUAGAACGAUACCGAUCAUGUGCAUGCUCCCCAAAAUAUGGCCUCUAUGACCCACACGCGUCUUUCGACGCUCAUGACGAGACCUCAGGUCAGGCGGGGCUACCCGCUGAAUUUAAGCAUAUCAAUAAGCGGAGGA